UGGGGAAUAUUGGGCAAUGGAGGCAACUCUGACCCAGCAACGCCGCGUGAGGGAAGAAGGUUUUCGGAUUGUAAACCUCUGUAAUCGGGGACGAAAAAAAUGACGGUACCCGAGAAGUAAGCUCCGGCUAACUACGUGCCAGCAGCCGCGGUAAUACGUAGGGAGCGAGCGUUGUCCGGAAUUACUGGGCGUAAAGGGAGCGUAGGCGGCUCUUUAAGUCAGAUGUGAAAUACCCGUGCUUAACAUGGGGGGUGCAUUUGAAACUGGGGAGCUUGAGUGCAGGAGAGGUAAGUGGAAUUCCUAGUGUAGCGGUGAAAUGCGUAGAUAUUAGGAGGAACACCAGUGGCGAAGGCGACUUACUGGACUGUAACUGACGCUGAGGCUCGAAAGCGUGGGGAGCAAACA
rnacentral:rRNA from 1 species